rnacentral:misc_RNA from 1 species
UUUCCGUAGGUGAACCUGCGGAAGGAUCAUUGUCGAAACCUGCCCAGCAGAACGACCCGCGAACUUGUAUAAACAACCGGGGGCGGGGGGCGUUCUCGCCCCGUGCCCCCGAACGGCGGGGAGACACUCGUGCCUUCUUGCCGAACAACGAACCCCGGCGCGGUCUGCGCCAAGGAACUUUAACUAAAGAGUGCCUCCGGUCGCCUCGGAAACGGCGUGCGUGCCGGGGGCGAACCUUGUGCAAAACCAUAACGACUCUCGGCAACGGAUAUCUCGGCUCUC